ACACUGCAGAGAAGGAUCUUUCUAUUCAAAGAUAUGCUGUCAUUCCAUUGUCUCCAAACAGCGGAUUAAUAGGAUGGGUACCAAAUUGUGACACCCUGCACCAUCUCAUUCGGAGUAAAGAGAUGCUAGAAAGAUCACCUUAAAUCUAGAGCACAAACAUAUGCUUAAUUUUGCUAAAGAUUAUGACCAUUUGCCACUUAUAGCUAAAGUGGAGGUGUUUGAGUAUGCUCUGCAAAAUAGUGAAGGAAAUGACCUGGCAAGGGUGUUUUAGUUAAAAAGUUGCACUUUUGAGAAUUGGCUGGACAGGAGGACAAAUUAU